AGGAAAACCAAUUCGAACAGCAUCGUCUGGAUGGUUUAAAGAAACUAAAAUCAAAUGCAAUUCCAACUCUUUGAUGUGCCCAAUCCCCCUCGCAUGUUGGAGACCAAAAUAAAAUCCUUGUAUAAGACUAUAGGAAAUUUGAGUAAUGAUAAUCUUAAGAAAAAUGUAUCUUCGACUGAAAAACGAUUAUCACAGGCUACAUCAAUAGAAAGCAAUGUUACCAUCAGUGAGAAUUACUCUGAACCUGUUAGCUGCCUGGAGAGGAAUGUUUGUCACUAGAUCCAAUAGAAGAACUUGAAAAAAUUAGAGCUGAAAUGAAUCGCAUAAAAGAUGAGAAUGACCACAUGAAA